rnacentral:rRNA from 1 species
AUUGAACGCUGGCGGCAGGCCUAACACAUGCAAGUCGAACGGAGCGGCGGACGGGUGCGUAAUGCCUAUGACUCUGCCUGUUCGUGGGGGAUAACGUCCGGAAACGGGCCCUAAUACCGCAUCCUAUCCGAUGAGCCUAGGUCGGAUUAGCUAGUUGUUGGGGUAAAGGCCUACCUAGGCGACGAUCCGUAACUGGUCUGAGAGGAUGAUCAGUCACACUGGAACUGAGACACGGUCCAGACUCCUACGGGAGGCAGCAGUGGGGAAUAUUGGACAAUGGGCGAAAGCCUGAUCCAGCCAUGCCGCGUGUGUGAAGAAGGUCUUCGGAUUGUAAAGCACUUUAAGCUGGGAGGCGUUACCAACAGAAUAAGCACCGGCUAACUUCGUGCCAGCAGCCGCGGUAAUAC